UGUUGCUUGGCUGCUGCUCCCUUGCCUAAAAGAGAAACAGUCUUCACAGGUGUUUUUUUUCCUAUGAUGAGUAAUGGCCCAUCAGUGCAUUGCUAGUAAAGCUGUUGGAUGCACAAAAGCUUUUGCAGGUUUAGAAAACAGAGCUAUAGUGUGCUCAGCAUGCUAAGGACAACCGGCUCCAUACCCACAAAUCCUGGCAAACUGUAGUCUGAGGAUGUGUUUCUACUUCGAGGACUUUGAACAGACUGAACAUAGUGCUGAUUGUCACUCUCACUGAACUCCUCGCUGUGACUGUGCAGCAGCAGAGAUCGCAGGCAGUGAUCUCAGCUAAAUGAAGACCAAUGCCCAGAUUCAGGCUACACAACUCAGGCUCACAGUGGUGUUCUUUACACAUACUGCUGUCAUUGCUGAUAAGUCACUUAAGACUCGCAUCCACCACCUGUAAACGUGUUGUUUUCUUUUUUCAAUGACAAAAUGUAAGUCAGUGCUUCUUCAGAAAACAGGAAUAGACAGGAAACAAAGAACUACCUUAUACUGGAUUUCCGUAGACUUCUCCAGAGUCCGUGGGGUUUUCACCUCCGUGAGGUCACCUGUUACCUGUUGCAAUGCAGGGAGGCAGCAAGGGCAAUGUCUGAUGAUAUGAGCUCAUGGUGGUGGCCUCCCUUGGACACGAUCGCCACUGUAGCCACACGCUGCUACACCUGGGUAGUGAAGAUUUGCCUGUUCCCUCUUCAGCUUCUGAUUACAUUCCCAUAUUUAAUUUCUUAUCAAGGCUGGACGCAAACCCAUGAUGGAAGAAGAAAAAAGACUAAGUGUAGACAGGAUAUAUUUCUACAUCCACAGAACUGAGCAAAGCAUCAUGGAGUAACAGUCCACAGUAAUCUGAAGAAACUGAUGUAUAUUUUGUUUCUACGUUCCCUUAGAUACCAGAAUUAAGAGUUGUAAUACUCUCCUUUGUUUAUACCUUGCUUACUUCUUCAUUCAGAUUGUAUUGUGAAAUUUAAAUGAAUCUAAGACACUUAAUGCU